UGGGGAAUAUUGGACAAUGGGCGCAAGCCUGAUCCAGCCAUGCCGCGUGAGUGAUGAAGGCCCUAGGGUUGUAAAGCUCUUUCACCGGUGAAGAUAAUGACGGUAACCGGAGAAGAAGCCCCGGCUAACUUCGUGCCAGCAGCCGCGGUAAUACGAAGGGGGCUAGCGUUGUUCGGAUUUACUGGGCGUAAAGCGCACGUAGGCGGACUUUUAAGUCAGGGGUGAAAUCCCGGGGCUCAACCCCGGAACUGCCUUUGAUACUGGAAGUCUUGAGUAUGGUAGAGGUGAGUGAAAUUCCGGGUGGAGAGGUGAAAUUCAUAGAUAUUCGGAGGAACACCAGUGGCAAAGGCGGCUCACUGGACCAUUACUGACGCUGAGGUGCGAAAGCGGGGGGAGCAAACAGG
rnacentral:rRNA from 1 species